rnacentral:rRNA from 1 species
CACGUAGGGGGCAAGCGUUGUCCGGAUUGACUGGGCGUAAAGCGCACGCAGGCGGACGCGCGCGUGGGGUGUGAAAUCUGGCCGCUUAACGGCCAGGCGCCAUCCCAUACGGCGCGUCUGGAGUGAUGCAGAGGUCGAUGGAAUUGCCGGUGUAGUGGUGAAAUGCGUAGAGAUCGGCAGGAACACCCAGGGGGAAACCAGUCGACUGGGCAUCUACUGACGCUGAGGUGCGAGAGCGUGGGGAGCGAACCGGG